UAUCCGGAUUUAUUGGGUUUAAAGGGUGCGUAGGCGGUUUGAUAAGUUAGAGGUGAAAUUUCGGGGCUCAACCCUGAACGUGCCUCUAAUACUGUUGAGCUAGAGAGUAGUUGCGGUAGGCGGAAUGUAUGGUGUAGCGGUGAAAUGCUUAGAUAUCAUACAGAACACCGAUUGCGAAGGCAGCUUACCAAACUAUAUCUGACGUUGAGGCACGAAAGCGUGGGGAGCAAACAGGAUUAGAUACCCUGGUAGUCCACGCAGUAAACGAUGAUAACUCGUUGUCGGCGAUACACAGUCGGUGACUAAGCGAAAGCGAUAAGUUAUCCACCUGGGGAGUACGUUCGCAAGAAUGAAACUCAAAGGAAUUGACGGGGGCCCGCACAAGCGGAGGAACAUGUGGUUUAAUUCGAUGAUACGCGAGGAACCUUACCCGGGCUUGAAAGUUAGCGACGAUUCUUGAAAGAGGAUUUCCCUUCGGGGCGCGAAACUAGGUGCUGCAUGGUUGUCGUCAGCUCGUGCCGUGAGGUGUCGGGUUAAGUCCCAUAACGAGCGCAACCCCUACCGUUAGUUGCCAUCAGGUGAAGCUGGGCACUCUGGCGGGACUGCCGGUGUAAGCCGAGAGGAAGGUGGGGAUGACGUCAAAUCAGCACGGCCCUUACGUCCGGGGCUACACACGUGUUACAAUGGUAGGUACAGAGGGCAGCUACCCAGCGAUGGGAUGCGAAUCUCGAAAGCCUAUCUCAGUUCGGAUUGGAGGCUGAAACCCGCCUCCAUGAAGUUGGAUUCGCUAGUAAUCGCGCAUCAGCCAU
rnacentral:rRNA from 1 species